UNAGGAAUAUUGGUCAAUGGGCGNAAGCCUGAUCCAGCCAUNCCGCGUGCAGNAAGACGGCCCUACGGGUUGUAAACUGCUUUUAUACGGGAAUAAACCUACCAACGUGUUGGUAGCUGAAUGUNCUGUAAGAAUAAGGAUCGGCUAACUCCGUGCCAGCAGCCGCGGUAAUACGGAGGAUCCGAGCGUUAUCCGGAUUUAUUGGGUUUAAAGGGUGCGUAGGCGGCCUAUUAAGUCAGGGGUGAAAGACGGUAGCUUAACUAUCGCAGUGCCUUUGAUACUGAUGGGCUUGAAUGUACUUGAGGUAGGCGGAAUGUGACAAGUAGCGGUGAAAUGCAUAGAUAUGUCACAGAACACCAAUUGCGAAGGCAGCUUACUAAAGUAUGAUUGACGCUGAGGCACGAAAGCGUGGGGAUCAAACAGGAUUAGAUACCCUGGUAGUCCACGCCCUAAACGAUGAACACUCGGUGUUGGCGAUAUACGGUCAGCGUCUAAGCGAAAGCGUUAAGUGUUCCACCUGGGGAGUACGCCCGCAAGGGUG
rnacentral:rRNA from 1 species